rnacentral:rRNA from 1 species
UAGCAUAUCAUAGCGGAGGAAAAGAAACCAACAGGGAUUGCCCUAGUAACGGCGAGUGAAGCGGCAACAGCUCAAAUUUGAAAUCUGGCUUCGGCCCGAGUUGUAAUUUGCAGAGGAUGCUUUUGGCGCGGUGCCUUCCGAGUUCCCUGGAACGGACGCCACAGAGGGUGAGAGCCCCGUAUGGUUGGACACCAAGCCUGUGUAAAGCUCCUUCGACGAGUCGAGUAGUUUGGGAAUGCUGCUCUAAAUGGGAGGUAAAUCUCUUCUAAAGCUAAAUACCGGCCAGAGACCGAUAGCGCACAAGUAGAGUGAUCGAAAGAUGAAAAGCACCUUGAAAAGGGGGUUAAAUAGUACGUGAAAUUGUUGAAAGGGAAGCGCUUGUGACCAGACUUGCGCCAGGCGGCUCAUCCGGCGUUCUCGCCGGUGCACUCCGCCUGGCUCAGGCCAGCAUCGGUUCUCGUGGGGGGAUAAGGGUGGCGGGAAUGUGGCUCUCUCCGGGGAGUGUUAUAGCCCGCUGCACGAUACCCUCGUGGGGACCGAGGUUCGCGCUCCGCAAGGAUGCUGGCGUAAUGGUCACCAGCGACCCGUCUUGAAACACGGACCAAGGAGUCGUCCAUUAGAGCGAGCGUUUGGGUGUAAAACCCGCACGCGUAAUGAAAGUGAACGUAGGUGAGAGCUUCGGCGCAUCAUCGACCGAUCCUGAUGUUCUCGGAUGGAUUUGAGUAAGAGUUCUAACGGACGGACCCGAAAGACAGUGAACUAUGCUUGUAUAGGGUGAAGCCAGAGGAAACUCUGGUGGAGGCUCGCAGCGGUUCUGACGUGCAAAUCGAUCGUCAAAUAUGAGCAUGGGGGCGAAAGACUAA